UCACUGGGAAUGUAAUGACUAU
rnacentral:miRNA from 1 species